GCUAUACAUGCAAGUCGAGCGAACAGACAAGGAGCUUGCUCCUUUGACGUUAGCGGCGGACGGGUGAGUAACACGUGGGUAACCUACCUAUAAGACUGGGAUAACUUCGGGAAACCGGAGCUAAUACCGGAUAAUAUUUCGAACCGCAUGGUUCGAUAGUGAAAGAUGGUUUUGCUAUCACUUAUAGAUGGACCCGCGCCGUAUUAGCUAGUUGGUAAGGUAACGGCUUACCAAGGCGACGAUACGUAGCCGACCUGAGAGGGUGAUCGGCCACACUGGAACUGAGACACGGUCCAGACUCCUACGGGAGGCAGCAGUAGGGAAUCUUCCGCAAUGGGCGAAAGCCUGACGGAGCAACGCCGCGUGAGUGAUGAAGGUCUUCGGAUCGUAAAACUCUGUUAUUAGGGAAGAACAUACGUGUAAGUAACUGUGCACGUCUUGACGGUACCUAAUCAGAAAGCCACGGCUAACUACGUGCCAGCAGCCGCGGUAAUACGUAGGUGGCAAGCGUUAUCCGGAAUUAUUGGGCGUAAAGCGCGCGUAGGCGGUUUUUUAAGUCUGAUGUGAAAGCCCACGGCUCAACCGUGGAGGGUCAUUGGAAACUGGAAAACUUGAGUGCAGAAGAGGAAAGUGGAAUUCCAUGUGUAGCGGUGAAAUGCGCAGAGAUAUGGAGGAACACCAGUGGCGAAGGCGACUUUCUGGUCUGUAACUGACGCUGAUGUGCGAAAGCGUGGGGAUCAAACAGGAUUAGAUACCCUGGUAGUCCACGCCGUAAACGAUGAGUGCUAAGUGUUAGGGGGUUUCCGCCCCUUAGUGCUGCAGCUAACGCAUUAAGCACUCCGCCU
rnacentral:rRNA from 1 species